CACCUGAAAUUUGUACAAUGUUAUAAAUCAAUGUUACCUCAAUAAGAAAAAAAUUUUAAAAAAGGAAGUCUCACCAUGAAGAAAAUCCUCUAUUGGCGGCUUUAAACUUUGGGAGAUAUAUGUUCUUACUCUUUAUAAGUCACUCACAGGGAUUCUCUCUGAGGAUUGUAUAACCCGCAUUUCUAGAGCAUCCACACCAUGUAAUGCCUUUGUACAACCAUUAUGAUAAGCACACGUGUGUUCAGUGUGGAAGGAAAUGGACAGUGAAGAGGGUUAGCCCUAAGUCAGUGAGCGUAGAUUUUCCUAGUAAAUAUUGCCACCAGUUGACCUUGCUUUAAAUCACUUCCAGGUCAGUAAAAUACAAGGAUGGAAAUGAUCAUAAAUAACUGCUUGGAUUGCUGAAUUUUUUGCUACAUUAGGGUUAAAGAUUGGGUGGUGAUACUUGGGUUCAAAUUAUAUGAUAUAAUGGUGAUUUUUUUUACUCUCACGAGAAAAAUAUUCUCAGCGAAAUCUCAGAUUCGGAAACAAGACGAGAGGAAAUAUAUUCUCACAGACUGUGCUGUGAAGAUAGAAUGUGAAGGAACAUUUCCAAUAAGGAAAACAAUUACUUAGGGGUUUUUUGGUUCUUUUAUAAUGAACCUCAAGAUAUUUAAGAUCAUGUCUGGCAAAUGUUGACAAUUAUUUUAACUUGCCACUUAUCUGAAAGCUCAAAAUACAGCCAAAAGGAUGCUGAGACACCCCAGAAUGGGCCAGCUGUUUAAUGUGCAUGUGAAACUAAUUUUCACAGUGCAGAGUUCAGCACACCCACCACCGCCCAGGCGGAACCCUAAACACCAAGGAAUGAGGACACUGAAUUGCCUGCACACGCAGUGCCAAACUGUGGAAUUUUCUACAACAUCAAUUUUUUGUCCUCUUCUAUAGACUAAAACUCUCUCUUCAUGAACUUGUUUCAUUAGUCAAUUGUUAAAGAAAAGGGAAACUUUUCAACUGCUGAAAUAUUUUUCUCUAUUUCUCAGAAUAAUAAGGAUUUGUGAUUUUAAUAUAAAUUUUUAUAUGUAUUUCAAAAGUUACCUUUCAGAGUGUAUUAGCAUCGAGUUUAGUAUCUUAAAAGUAGACCCUACAGCAUCAGGAGCACAUGGACUCAUGUGCACAUUGGCUGUACUUUUCUUGCUCAAUAUUGUUUUGCUUUUGAAGUGAUGGCCUGUGUGUUUUUGGUGUGUAUGCUGUGCAUAUCUUUCAGAAGUGACAUUCAAAUGCCAGUGGAGAGGGGACAAUGGGGCUGAGUCUGAAAACCUUCAGAUAGACUCUGCCACACCCGCCUACCAGCCUCCUGAGACCACCUGGGCAAUCCAGCUUCCUGUCCCCUAAUCCCUCCUUGUCUAUGUCAUCAGCUUCUGAUCUUGGAUUUGUCCACAGAUUGAUCACUGUGCUCCCUGGAAGCUGCCAUCUAAUGCUAAUAACUCUGUCUAAACCCAGCCUGCCACUGACUCAGCUUUCACAUCAAGGACUAAAUAUUGGCCGACGUCCUGUGCUCCUUUGGGCAUCAGACUCUGUUUGACUCCACUAUUCCUGUCUUGGCACUGCCACAUUGCACUGUCCUGGCUGGGCGAAGGGGCCCAAAUAGGAGAGCUUGGACAACUGCGUGGCGUCACCCUUCUCUUCAGAGAGAUGCUUACAUCUAAUCCCAGUGGUCCAAACAAGCAAAUAUACAGAUAUCCACCCACGUGGGGUACAGCAAAUCUAGAGGUUAACAAAAAGAUAAAGAGACCGAGUGUGAAAGAUAGCAUCUUUAGAAGUUGGGAUCAAACUUCUGUUUUUUUUAGGAAAAAAAGUAGUUAUAGUCCAAUGCAAUCUAUUAGAUUCUCUGUUAUUAAUCUUGUCCACCUGGAACCUGCUGACCUUGCAGAAAUGCUGAAUUCACCUGGAGGACUCAGGCACAGAGCUGACCAUGGCUAAGAUUGGGUUGACCUGCUAUAUCUCAGAAAGAGAAUUCUGAUCCUACUAACCAUGCCAGGAAAUGGAAUUAUUGGUGCGUGAGGAAUUGAAGGAACUUUUCUGUCAGUUUCUCUUCAUCUUUUCUGUCUAGAAACCUCUUGCUGAAAAUUCCAGAAAUAACCUAAAUAAUUACACCUCCUCAGUGCCCCUGCAUCCUAGUUAUUCAGGCCCACGUUCCCACAGUGCUUCGUUCCACUCCUAUUGUGGCAUUUGUCACACCGCUUUAUAACAUUUGCUUAUGUGCAUUCGCUCCCUCUGGAUCAGGAGCAACCAUAGGACAAAGAUUGUGCCUCAUUCCUCUUUGUAUCCUCAGGUCUUUCUAUAGGGAUAUGCAAAUAGUAGACACUUAAUAAAUGCUUAGUUUCAUAUCUGAAGAUUUUAGCAUUGUGCGUGCUCUGAUUGCUUGCCAGAGAGAGAACCAAACUCUGGACCCCCAAUGUCGAAUCUCUCAAGAGAAUUCUGCUUCCACUUGGGAUGUGGAUUGCUUCAAGAUCAUGUCAUUCCCGGUUCAGCAAUAAGAAAAAUACAGAUAGCCCACAAAAUUAUAAGUUUUCUUGAGCACAUCAGAAAGCUGAGGUUGUAAGGCAGCCAAGAGAACUCAAUUCUGAAGAGUGACAAGUCCACUGGAGAGAAAUGGGUGAGACAGUCUCUUUCACCUUUGGCGGAACAUGGGAGGAGGAUAGAGCUGCCAUAAAAGCAGGUUGGGAGGAAACAGCUACAAUUUUCACAAUGUCUUGAAGACCAAGGGCAGGCUAGUGAGAUAAUUUAGAAUGCCUGUGAGCCUCAGACACAGGGAGAAGGUGUAUGCACUCACUCACUGUCUCUUUCCCACCGUUUUCUACUGUGUGCAUAGGAGAAGGAUUUGGGGCAGGGCAGAAAACAGCUGCUGACAAAGGUUCAUUGCUUCUGAGGGAGGAGUAGAAGCAAAUCUGCUGCCCUGGGGGGAGGGGAUGAAAAUGCGCAGGUGCAGGAUGCUACACUGGAUGCAAAAUGAAGGAAAGAGGCAGGAACAUCUCUCGUGCCAAGGCUUUUGGGAGCUUUGCAGCCAGAAGUAGCAGCUGGGAGAAACAACACUCCAUAGAUGAGUCUCUGUGGAAAUCUCACCACCACCACCUGCCUCUCCACACCUACAACCCCAGAGAUCAGGCAAAGAGCUUCCGGCUGAGCUGUCUGGACGACUUACAGCCUCUGCUGCCAGACUGGCCCCCAAAACUCGUCUCCUCACAAGUGCCCACUGCCUAGCCCUGCUCAUUUCCUCCCUCAGGCUCCUGUGGGGCCACGUUCAGACGCUAGCUACAUGGGAGUCUGGGACAUAUCAUUUUAAGUUUUUAUUUUUUUUGUUUUCUGCUUCAGCAGUUCAAGCAGGCAUCCUAGCUACAAUUCAGGAAGGGAUUCUAUAAGUAGAUUGGAGGAAGAGCUGAAAAAGCCAGUCCAUAAUAUCUACUGCCCCAACCACCCAACUAGAUACAUUUCUAUUGAGACUGGGGGCCAACUUGCUUUCACUAUACUCAGUUAGUAGUCUGUUUGCAAAAGUAGUUAGAUAAGAUAUUGCUAACACCCACCCUAUGGAUAACAUCUCUGCCUCUUGGGUCACCAUGGUAACAGAUGCUUGAGUUUUUCAGGAACUAAGAAUUCACGCCUUGUCCAGUUCAGGCUGGUUAAGACCAGGAUUCAUUGACUGGGCCUGCACAGAUGACUGGCAGGUGACUCUUUGAUGUCAAGGAGUUGAAAACCCCACCCUCAGAUCAUGCUAACACCGGCAUUUUGGGAACAUGCGUCCUAUGAAGAGCCAUGAAAUGACUACGCUUGUACAGAUCAGCAACUACCUCGCUUUUCCUUACUUCCAAUAGUCUAUUCCCACACUUCAGACUGCCCUGCCCCUUUAUCCCAUAAAUAUCCCUAAUCCCCACUUUCAGAGAGACAGAUUUGAGAUUUGUUCUCCCGUCUCCUUGCUUGACUGCCUUGUGAAUAAACACUUUCUCUACUGCAAACUCAUCAUCUCAAUGAUUGACACAAUUGUGCAGCAGACAAAACGAACCUGGGUCAGUAACACUAUCACCCUGUUAAUGUCUUUCAUAAUGCCAGAGCACUUAGAAAAAAAUAAAAUACAUAUGAUUGUUUAUUUCUAUUUGCUGAAUAUCUCCCUCUACUCUACUCAUUUAUAAGAUCCACUCACGCAGGGACCCUCUCUUCAUUUUUCUUUGCUGUAUCCUCACUAUAAACUACAGUGUCUUGCAUACAGAUGGUACUCAAUAAAUACUGCUGAAUAAAUCAGCAGACUCUUUCAGAAUUGAAUAGAAACAAAACCAAAAAUGAUUGCCCUUUCCAUGGAAAAGGGCUUGUAGGGACAGGCCCAACAUUUCCAUUCCGCUUUCUGAGCUCCCUAGGAAGAAAGAACAGUAAAGAGGUUGAGAUGAUGUGUGUUCUCAUUACCUGGCUUUAAAAUGCAGCAAUUUUGAUGAGGAAACUAUUAAAAUGUAUGUGACCCUCUACCCACCCCAAAAUAAAGGAGACAGGAAGUAUUUUAACGUUUCAAGGCUCUCUGCAGGUAGGAAAACGUGUGCCAGGCAGCUCACUCCCCUAAAAGUGCAGGCGGUUUGUGAGCACCAUGUUUGGCAAUGCCUGGACAGCCUGCAGCAACCGUGCAGCAUAUCUGUCUCCAUUAGGCAUUUACACAAAUUCCUGGAACCUGCGCCAGCUCGCUUUUCAAACUGAUUCACUGGCAACAGAAAAGGAAGGGAAAAAACCCUAAGGUCUUAGGGUGCAUUUUUUUCAUUCUCUUUCUACAGCUUAAAGGAGGGUGAAGGUCUGAGACGGGAUUUGCAGCCGUUGAAUAAUAACCAGAAAGGGAGAUUAACCAGCACUGAGGGUGCUUCCCUUGACCAGAAAUGCAAUACAUCCAGCCAGCCAAUCCCCAAACGCCAAGCCAGCUCUGUGCUCUUUACUUACGUCCUUGCUCCUUCUCACCCCAAUCAAGUUUGACUAUGUGGCCCCAGCCAACCAGGCUUGUAUGAACCAGGAGAAGAAUCAGCAUUCCAUUCGCAACUGACUUCUUUUCUGUGACUUGUGGACUGCUAGAAGAUGCUCAAGAAAACAAGAACAGGGAAUUGAAAACGGCAAUUAACACACUGUGAGGGAAGUCAAGUCAACCACCUAAAGCAAAGGCUCUAGUACUCUCUAAAGGAGCUAAAUACGUGGUGAAGAAAGCAGAGGAACUCAGCUCUGCUUGAAUAGGCAAAAACCAACCAGACGUCGAUGAAAAUAAUCCAUAAGCAACCUAUAAAUGAAAAUUGGCAUGAAUUUCAUAUGAACCAGAUCUGAGGACUAGCUUAGACCAGGGCCUU